rnacentral:tRNA from 1 species
GACCGCGUAGCUCAGUUGGCAGAGCGUUGGGCUAGUAUUGCAAAGAUCGUAGGUUCGAUUCCCACCGUGGCCA